AUUGAACGCUGGCGGCAGGCUUAACACAUGCAAGUCGAGCGGAGAGAGGUAGCUUGCUACUGAUCUUAGCGGCGGACGGGUGAGUAAUGCUUAGGAAUCUGCCUAUUAGUGGGGGCAACAUUUCGAAAGGAAUGCUAAUACCGCAUACGUCCUACGGGAGAAAGCAGGGGAUCUUCGGACCUUGCGAUAAUAGAUGAGCCUUAGUGGGGUUAGCUAGUUGGUGGGGUUAAGGCCUACCAAGGAGACGAUCUGUAGCGGGUCUGAGAGGAUUAUCCGCCACACUGGGACUGAGACACGGCACAGACUCCUACGGGAGGCAGCAGUGGGGAAUAUUGGACAAUGGGCGGAAGCCUGAUCCAGCCAUGCCGCGUGUGUGAAGAAGUCCUUAUGGUUGUAAAGCACUUUAAGCGAGGAGGAGGCUACUUUAGUUAAUACCUAGAGAUAGUGGACGUUACUCGCAGAAUAAGCACCGGCUAACUCUGUGCCAGCCGCCGCGGUAACAC
rnacentral:rRNA from 1 species